rnacentral:rRNA from 1 species
AUUGAACGCUGGCGGCAGGCUUAACACAUGCAAGUCGAGCGGGGUGAUGGUGCUUGCACUAUCACUUAGCGGCGGACGGGUGAGUAAUGCUUAGGAAUCUGCCUAUUAGUGGGGGACAACAUCUCGAAAGGGAUGCUAAUACCGCAUACGUCCUACGGGAGAAAGCAGGGGAUCACUUGUGACCUUGCGCUAAUAGAUGAGCCUAAGUCGGAUUAGCUAGUUGGUGGGGUAAAGGCCUACCAAGGCGAUGAUCUGUAGCGGGUCUGAGAGGAUGAUCCGCCACACUGGGACUGAGACACGGCCCAGACUCCUACGGGAGGGAGCAGUGGGGAAUAUUGGACAAAGGGGGGAACUCUGAUCCAGCCAUGCCGCGUGUGUGAAGAAGGCCUUAUGGUUGUAAAGCACUUGAAGCGAGGAGGAGGCUACUGAGACUAAUACUCUUGGAUAGUGGACGUUACUCGCAGAAUAAGCACCGGCUAACUCUGUGCCAGCCGCCGCCGUAA